rnacentral:rRNA from 1 species
UGGGGAAUUUUGGACAAUGGGCGAAAGCCUGAUCCAGCAAUGCCGCGUGUGUGAAGAAGGCCUUCGGGUUGUAAAGCACUUUUGUCCGGAAAGAAAUCCUUGGCUCUAAUACAGUCGGGGGAUGACGGUACCGGAAGAAUAAGCACCGGCUAACUACGUGCCAGCAGCCGCGGUAAUACGUAGGGUGCAAGCGUUAAUCGGAAUUACUAGGCGUAAAGCGUGCGCAGGCGGUUUGCUAAGACCGAUGUGAAAUCCCCGGGCUCAACCUGGGAACUGCAUUGGUGACUGGCAGGCUAGAGUAUGGCAGAGGGGGGUAGAAUUCCACGUGUAGCAGUGAAAUGCGUAGAGAUGUGGAGGAAUACCGAUGGCGAAGGCAGCCCCCUGGGCCAAUACUGACGCUCAUGCACGAAAGCGUGGGGAGCAAAACAGGAUUAGAUACCCUGGUAGUCCACGCCCUAAACGAUGUCAACUAGUUGUUGGGGAUUCAUUUCCUUAGUAACGUAGCUAACGCGUGAAGUUGACCGCCUGGGGGAGUACGGUCGCAAGAUUAAAACUCAAAGGAAUUGACGGGGU